rnacentral:lncRNA from 1 species
UAUAUUUAUAUUUCUAUCGUAUCAAAAUCUUUUUAUUUUCCUUGAUGCUUACAUCCUGCCAGUGUGAUUUAAAAUAUUUUGCUUAUUGCCCACAUGUUGGUAGAUUUUUCUUUCUUUUUUUUUUUUUUUUUUUUUUCCGAGACAGGGUUUCUCUGUGUAGCCCUGGCUGUCCUUGAACUCACAAAUGCACCUGCCUCUACUUCCCAAGUGCUGGGAUUAAAGGCGUGUGCCAACAUACCCGGCCAAUAGAUUUUUCUUAAUUCCACUAUGGCCAUCGGGGCAUUGUUUGGUUUCACUUUUUUUUUUUUUUUUAAACAUUUUUUUUAAAGAUUUAUUUAUUUAUUAUAUGUAAGUACACUGUAGCUGUCUUCAGACACUCCAGAAGAGGGUCUCAGGUCUCAUUACAGAUGGUUGUGAGCCACCAUGUGGUUGCUGGGAUUUGAACUCUGGACCUUCGUAAGAACAGUCGGGUGCUCUUACCCACUGAGCCAUCUCACCAGCCCCUUGGUUUCACUUUUAUGUUGAUAUCCAUUUAUAUUUUCAGGUGUGGAUAUGUGUGCUCACACGUGUAUGUGUAGGUUCCUGUGCACGUGUGUGAGUUCACAUGUGUGCUUGAAUGGGUGGAGCCCAGCCUGCACCUUCUAUACUGAGGUCUCCCACUUGAACCCAGAGCAUACUGAUUCAACUGCUCUAGCAGGGCAGCUAGCUCUAGGGACCCUGUGUGCGUAUCUUAUAUUUAAUAGUCAUCGUGUAUUUGUGUUUACCUGCUCCUGACUAAAAGUUCGCUUCUAUUGUCUUUUUUCCUUUUGAUUCGUUUCUUAGUAUACCUAGGAGUAGCAUUUUACCGCCAGUACUCUUUAUUGUAGGUUACGAAAUCUUGUAAUUUUUAAAAAUGAAGUAUACUGCACUGACGUAUGACUCAGUGAAUUCUGAGUUCUGCUCAUAGGCACCUAACCUUGAAACAAAUAAUGAUCUAAGGUAUUUAAGCAAACUUCCUCUUUUUUUUUUUUUGCAUUGGCAGCACAAUUCCAGUUUGGUCUGAGUCAAGGGAAACAAAGUCUAAGGAACCCUCUGAGACUGCUGAGGGUGACAGUGGGAAGCUGUGCCUACUGCCUGUGCCAGCCCAAAGUACUGACAGCCCCAUUGAAUUAAAAAAAAAAAAAAGAUUUAUUGGGCUGGAAAGGUGGCUCAGAGGUUAAGAGCACUGCUCUACCAGAGGUCCUGAGUUCAAUUCCCAGCAACCACAUGGGGUGACUCACAACCAUCUGUAAUGGGAUCUGAUAUCCUCUUCUGGCCUGCAGUCAGAUAAUGCAAGCAGAACACUAUAUACAUAAUAAAUAAAUAAAUCUUAAAAACAAACAAAACAAAAAAGAAGAGCAGUCAGUGCUCUCAACCCUGGGCCAUCUCUCCAGCUCAGGCAAACUCCUUUUAACCCAGUAUCUGGUGAGCUAAAUCAGUAGGGGUUGAGGGCUUCAGCUAGCCUGGGCUAUAGGAUGAGACCAUGCCCCCAAAAUAAGUAAGUAAAUUUAUAUAAUGAGACCCUGCCCCCAAAUAAGUAAAAAUACAUAUGUAAAUAAAUAAAUUUAUAUUUUAAGACCCUGUCCCCAAAAUAAAUAAAUGAAUAAAUUUAUAUAAUGAAACUCUGCCUCCAAAAUAAGUAAAUAGGAAGGAAGGAAGGAAGGAAGGAAGGAAGGAAGAAAGG